GCCCGCUUGGCGAAAUCGGCAGACGCAACGGACUUAAAAUCCGUAUCCCGACACGGGAGUGGGGGUUCGAGUCCCCCAGCGGGCACCA
rnacentral:tRNA from 1 species